ACGAAUCCAACCCACCAGGUCAUAUCUCCAUAUAGCCUCGAAGCAAUGCACGAUCCUAUCCCAACAUCGCUCCACAUGAGACAAUAUGUUGUUCUCGAAUAAGCUCUUUGAAAGAUAACUGAAUGCGUUUAGUCCCUUGGGGAAGGGUCUGCGCCCAGGGGCUCUUUUUAGCACUUUUGAGGAAGUGAAGACGAAUAGUCGACUUUGUUGCCUGCUUGACUGCUUUCAUCUCCUGAUGUCAGAAAAGGUGUUCUAUCUCAUUCUUUUAGCUGCAAGGGAACCGUCAGGUUGUAGUGGUUGAAGUAGAGCCAAGCAGCGAUGGACUAAGCGAGUCAAAUAACGCUGGUGCGAACCAUGUUGGAUGACGGGUGAGGGUGAGAAAGAAGUCCUGCUCUACUGCCCUGUGUUAAGCAAAGUGAGUUUACUUCGUUUCAGGCCAUCUUAUUCAGUCUCAUGGAACUAAACUCUUAGAUGCAGCAUGCAGCCGCCUCCAUCCAUCGGCACAUCCGCCCCAGAUGCACGCUUAGCCGCAUUGUUCAUCUUGAAAGGGAGCCGCGAGGUGCUGUCAUGUCAAGCCCAAGGUUCGUUCUACUGCUGUAAAAUUUCUGCCAUUUACACGUCUUGGUGGGGGGUCUUCUUGCAACGAUCUUCGUUUCUUCAGGAAUGGUGCCGGUCAAUUGGUGUAUAGGACUCAUUAUGCUCGAAAUUGACAACCACACACAAUUUGAUGUCUGAAACCAAAGCGAAUCAUUACACCCUCAGUGAAACAAAUACCAUAUAACAC
rnacentral:lncRNA from 1 species